GACGAACGCUGGCGGCGUGCCUAAUACAUGCAAGUAGAACGAGUUGCGAACGGGUGAGUAACGCGUGGUAACCUGCCGUAUACCGGGGGAUAACUACUGGAAACGGUAGCUAAUACCGCAUACCAUCGGAUGCGUCCAGAUGGGAUUAGCUAGUAGGCGGGGUAACGGCUCACCUAGGCGACGAUCCCUAGCUGGUCUGAGAGUGUGACCAGCCACACGGUAACUGAGACACGGUCCAGAAUCCUACGGGAGGCAGCAGUGGGGAAGAUUGCGCAAUGGGCGAAAGCCUGAUGCAGCCAUGCCGAGUGUGUGAAGAAGGCUUUCGGGUUGUAAAGUACUUUCAGCGGGGAAGCGUUACUCGCAGAGAAAGCACCGGCUAACUCCGUGCCAGCAGCCGCGGUAAUAC
rnacentral:rRNA from 1 species